rnacentral:rRNA from 1 species
GAUGAACGCUAGCGACAGGCCUAACACAUGCAAGUCGAGGGGUAGCACAGGAUAGCUUGCUAUUUGGGUGACGACCGGCGCACGGGUGAGUAACGCGUAUGCAACCUGCCUAUAAGAGGGGGAUAGCCUUUCGAAAGAAAGAUUAAUACCGCAUAAUACUGUUUAUCUGCAUGGAUGAACAGUUAAACUAUUUGGCUUAUAGAUGGGCAUGCGUUCCAUUAGAUAGUUGGUGAGGUAACGGCUCACCAAGUCAGCGAUGGAUAGGGGUUCUGAGAGGAAGGUCCCCCACACUGGUACUGAGACACGGACCAGACUCCUACGGGAGGCAGCAGUGAGGAAUAUUGGUCAAUGGGCGAGAGCCUGAACCAGCCAAGUCGCGUGAAGGAUGAAGGUCUUAUGGAUUGUAAACUUCUUUUAUAAGGGAAUAAAAAAGAUCACGUGUGGUCUAUUGCAUGUACCUUAUGAAUAAGCAUCGGCUAACUCCGUGCCAGCAGCCGCGGUAAUACGGAGGAUGCGAGCGUUAUCCGGAUUUAUUGGGUUUAAAGGGUGCGUAGNCGGUUUAUUAAGUCAGUGGUGAAAGUUUUCGGCUCAACCGGAAAAUUGCCAUUGAAACUGAUAGACUUGAGUGUAAACGAGGUANGCGGAAUUCGUGGUGUAGCGGUGAAAUGCUUAGAUAUCACGAAGAACUCCAAUUGCNAAGGCNGCUUACUAGGCUACAACUGANGCUGAAGCACGAAAGCGUGGGGAUCAAACAGGAUUAGAUACCCUGGUAGUCCNCGCAGUAAACGAUGAUAACUAGCU